UUGCUGAAGAACCAGUCUCCUGUUGAUCCAAUAUAAGAAAAAUAAAUAACAUUCUACAAACGAAAAUUAACAAAGGUCACUUUCUUCCUCGAUGCAUCUUUAAGUUAUUUAAUUUGUUAUUAUGUUCAUCGACGCUAGACUUUGUUUAACUUUAUGUAAAUUAAGUAAAACUAGUGGAUUAAUCCGCGCUCCACGGUGGGUAGGCCAAUUUUUAACAAAAUACAUAUAGAAACUUAGACGCAAUGAUAAAACUUUGGUAAAAAGAACCAGAAAAAUAUACACAUAGUUUUAGUUGGAUGAACCAACUUUAUAAACCCAAAACAUGUUUAAGCGUUGUUAUUUAGUUAUAUAUAUUCUACAUGCUCCUAGAACUCGAAUAUCAAAACAUAAAUACAAAAACAUAUCGUAACAGCUAUUAGUCUGACAUAGAACCUCAAAGCAUCAAACAUACAAAACGAAAGAAAUAACAUCAGAAUGUGCCGAAUUAACGCAAGUGUUCCCAUUUCUUGAUUUGUUCAUAUUUUCAUCGCAAACUCAAAAGAAAACAAUAAGGUCCUCAGAAAAAUAAAAGAAAAAAGUUGUUAAAAAAACCAUAAAAGCUGGCAAGGCAGAGUACAUUUAUCCAUAAUAACAAAUAGAGUUAAAUGUCAUUUUAGUUCAUGUGCUUUAGUGUUAGUCCAAAGGUUUAAAACAUUGCUAUUUUAGUCCAAAUAGUUUCAAAUGAUGUCAUUUUAGUCCACUGGGUUAACUCCAUCCCUUUAUUCUGUUAACUAGAAAGGC
rnacentral:lncRNA from 1 species